rnacentral:tRNA from 1 species
GGGGUUCUGGCCGAGUGGUUAAGGCGCUGUGUUUAGGUAUGAAAACCCGCAGUGGGAAACCGCGCAGGUUCGAAUCCUGCGGACCUCA